rnacentral:rRNA from 1 species
UACGAAGGGGGCUAGCGUUGCUCGGAAUCACUGGGCGUAAAGCGCGCGUAGGCGGAUUGUUAAGUCAGGGGUGAAAUCCCGAGGCUCAACCUCGGAACUGCCUUUGAUACUGAAGAUCUUGAGUUCGGGAGAGGUGAGUGGAACUGCGAGUGUAGAGGUGAAAUUCGUAGAUAUUCGCAAGAACACCAGUGGCGAAGGCGGCUCACUGGCCCGAUACUGACGCUGAGGCACGAAAGCGUGGGGAGCAAACAGG